GACGCUGUCACCCCGACCACACGACGACCCCAAUCCCAAACUCCUUUGGGAUCGGCGGAGGCCGCGCGCUACCGGAUGGCCGGCAUGGGCGGCGGAGUCCCCGGGAAGGGCGGCGUCCGGGGCGGAUAGUUGGGCAUGCCCGUCGGCGUUCGCCCCAUGCCGGUGUACGGCGGCGGCGGCGGCAAGGUGCGCGGCGGCGGCGGCGGCAAGGUGCGCGGCGGCGGCGGCGGCAAGGUGCGCGGCGGCGGCGGCGGGGGCGGGCCUGGCGGGGGAGGCGUGGUCGGAGUCAUGAAGCCGGUGCGCGGGGGCGUCGUCGUCGUCGUCGUCGCCGGCGGCGGCGGGGUCUACAUAAUGGUCGGGGGCGCCGGCGGUAGCAUGCCGCCCUUGUCGUUAGUUCGCGGGGGAGGUGGCGGUGGUGGUCACAGACGAGGGGGAAGGCGCGGCGGUGGCGGUGGCGGAGGCCGGGUCGGGGUCGGCGGGGGUGCCCUCCGGGGGGGCGGCGGCGGUUUCCUCGCCGUCCGGUUCCGCCGCGACGGCUCCCACCUCAGCCUCCUCCUCGCCGCUCGCUCCUUCUUCGCGCUCAUACUCUUCGUCUUCGACCUCCUGGCCUUCGUCGUCGUCGACUACGCGGUCAGCGUCCGGUGGUAAGAUGUUUUCUGUGUCUUCCACGCGCGGCGGUGCGUCGUCGUCGUCGGUGUCGUCGUCUCGGCGGUGGAGGUCGGUAGUCGACCCCGAGCCGGCCGCUGCUGUCGCAGAGCGGGUCGGCGGCGCCGGUUGUGGCUCUCCAAGCUCUUAGCCGAGUUCUUCGGCUGUUGCAAGGAGACGUUCGUGUUCAAAUCCUUACUUGACGGUCUGGGUUCACGUGUCAACUUUACCGACGGAGAAUUAUUCCUGUUCCUGGCUAUAUGGUUUAUGUCCUAGUGCAGUAACCUCUUUUGAUAUACGGAUUUUACUAACAGGGACUCCUAGAGCCCUAUGGAGAACUGGAUGAACUAUACUCACAUAUGUUGGGAGGGAGACAAGUAGCGGGGGACCGAGGUCUUCUAGUUCUCGACGACGCACUUCUGCUCCAAGAGUGGGGACAAUUUGGUCUUCCAUAUUCCUUUUUCCUCUCCGGUUGGCUGUUUCCGUACAGAACCGACCACUUUUGUGUCAUGUAAAGAGGUGAAUGAUGACUACGUCGGUUUUACAGCUAGUGACUUUUCGUUCGUUUUCUUUCCGCUCUUAGUUCCCUCCCAGCACUAUUACAGGAGCUUUUAGAAUUACUAUCUGUCUUCGCCUAGUUUCGGUAACGUCUUAGGAAGUUUCGUCGAUUUAGUGCGGGACAGGUGGUCUGAUUUGCUCCCUACCUCGGUCUCAAACAAGAGGGAAACCAUGGGCUAAAACUAUCCAUAUUACUAGGUAAACAAUACCACUUAAAACUACCUCUAGGAUGUCGACUAAGCCUCGUUAUAUGGUUCGAUCUCUCUGGACAUGCACUACUUACGCUUAGGGUCCGAGACUACUUUUCAAAAGUUCAGUCACCAAGUCUGGGACGUUUUGUUCUCUCUAAAAACCGUAUGUACCGAGGUCGUGGGGUGCUCGAAGAGUUCCUGAACCUACUACUUUUACUUCUGAAGGUCAUGAGGACCUAAGCCCUUAUAGUGACCCUUCAUUCCCCCCUACUGUUCGUUCUAGGUUGCUGAAUGGAACAGAGUAAACUACUGCUACUUCGUUUUAUAAACAGAGAAGGAUGGUUCGAUCACAACGUCUUCUUUUUUCGUUUUCUCCCAUCUAGACCCCUACUUUAGCUCGUAAAGGGUCACGGAAGAUCUUAAUGACACUCGUCCUGUAGUGUACCACUACUCUACCUCGUACCUCUUAGUAGGUCGUACGUACCAUUAAAUUUCGCUGCUUCUAGAAGACAACUACUACUAGAACUACUCGUAGGCUCCGCAAGAGCACAUCUUCUACGUCUCGUCAUAUCACUUCUGCUAAGACUUACUAGUCAUCUAUACUUUCCUGGCAGUAAAAGAACGUGCAACUUAAUUGGUCGUGCAUACUUAGAAACUUCUAGAGUAUACGUCUCGUCAUAUCCCACGUCCCAACUACUUUCUUUGACGAACUCACGUAAGCCGUUAUCAUCUAAAACUUCACGUCUCGCCCGUUUCGUUCCGAAUCACAUUGACCUGGAAUUCUGACCAGAGUCUUAACUCCCAUCUUCCAGAGUAGUAGUAACAUUUUUUUUUCCGAGACAUCAGAAACCCUCACUAAGAGGCAACGACAAAACUACUAUAUCCGGUUAAAUAAAUACAGUCCUAACAUCUGUCGACACAUACCAUUAAAAAAAAAGACCACCUUUACUACUAGUUACAUAAACACGAUGCUCCUUACAAUUCCACGCUAAUCACAA
rnacentral:rRNA from 1 species